rnacentral:rRNA from 1 species
GCUGGCGGCAGGCCUAACACAUGCAAGUCGAACGGUAACAUUUCUAGCUUGCUAGAAGAUGACGAGUGGCGGACGGGUGAGUAAUGCUUGGGAACUUGCCUUUGCGAGGGGGAUAACAGUUGGAAACGACUGCUAAUACCGCAUAAUGUCUUCGGACCAAACGGGGCUCCGGCUCCGGCGCAAAGAGAGGCCCAAGUGAGAUUAGCUAGUUGGUAAGGUAACGGCUUACCAAGGCGACGAUCUCUAGCUGUUCUGAGAGGAAGAUCAGCCACACUGGGACUGAGACACGGCCCAGACUCCUACGGGAGGCAGCAGUGGGGAAUAUUGCACAAUGGGGGGAACCCUGAUGCAGCCAUGCCGCGUGUGUGAAGAAGGCCUUCGGGUUGUAAAGCACUUUCAGUUGUGAGGAAAAGUUAGUAGUUAAUACCUGCUAGCCGUGACGUUAACAACAGAAGAAGCACCGGCUAACUCCGUGCCAGCAGCCGCGGUAAUACGGAGGGUGCGAGCGUUAAUCGGAAUUACUGGGCGUAAAGCGCACGCA